GUAAUUGAUACGGAAGGAGUGCCGAAGCCGAAGGCAAAGUCGAGUUCUUGUUGACGAUUAAUAUCUAACGUUAUACAAUACCGUACAUAUAGGUAGACUGAAUUUCCACACCAUGGCAAAUCAAAUUCACAUUUUGACCUCCCAUUCAAAAGACGUCAACUGCUGCACGUUUUCUGCCAACCUGCUGGCCACGUGCUCCGGGGAUAAAUCGGUUCGCCUCUGGGAUGCAACGUCGUUCGAGGAACUCCCCUUUUCUCCGCUCCUCGGCCAUUCAUACUACGUGCACUGGUGCGCUUUCAGUGCUUUUGGGACCAGAUUAGCGACUUGCUCGACCGACGGGAAGGUCAUCGUGUGGGAUGCUAGCAGCGGGGAGACAGUAGCCGUGUUUGAGCAUAUCCAAAAGCCCAUCCUUAGGGUUUGCGUCUUUUCACCAGACUCUCAGUAUUUGUUGAGUGGAGGAGCAGAUAAUGAACUAUGGAUGUGGGAUCUCAACAAGAAAACAUGUACAAGAAAGUUCGAAGGUCAUAUAAGUGUCAUCACAGCGUGUGCAUUCACACCCGAUGGUGCUCAUGUUGUAUCAGGGUCAACGGCUGGUGAUCUCAGGGUAUGGGACGCCCUCCACGGUCAAGGAAAAUGUCUUUUCUACGAUCCGGACUGCCAUGAUCUAGCUCUCACUGGUUUAGCCAUCUCACCAACGUUUGGUUCUGCAAAUGCUGCAGUGCGUGAAACCCUUGGCCAAAGAACAUUCUAUAUGCUGGCUACGUGUGGUGAUAACAUUGUCAGACUCUGGGAUUUAGACACAGUACCAGCGUGUUCUACCAGACUUCGAUGUGAUCUGAAAGGCCAUUCAGCCACUGUACAAGCCUUGUCUUUCUCUGCAGAUGGACGCCUUCUUGCUUCAGGGGCAGUGGAUAAGCUAGCUAUCAUUUGGAAUCCAAUUGUUGGUGAGAUGUUGUACACUCUGGAGGGACAUGCAAGGUAUGUGACGACUGUAGCCUUCUCCCAAGACAACAUGUUCUUAGCAACAGGCUCCCACAGUAAAGUCCAUGUUUGGAAAUUGGGUUUCAACCAGCCGUUACAACCCGCAGUCUCAUCAGCCAGUCCGUCUGCCCCUUCUAUUAGCCCGGCCAAUCAGCAGAGCUCUCUCACGGAAACCGGACCUUCGUUGGUUCAUAACGUGAUAUCUGAUUGGACGGUUGAUGCUGUGUGUGAGUGGUUACAGAGUAUCGAGUUAGAGCAGUACUGUGAGGUGUUCAAAGAGAAUCACAUUGAUGGUCAAGAGUUGCAGAACCUCACUACCGAUGUCCUUUCUAAAGACCUCAACGUCAAGGCCCUUGGUCAUCGUCAGAAGAUCUUGAGAGGUAUCCAGGCAGUCCGUGAAAAAGGGUUCUUCUCCGGGUCUCAGGGACCAGUACCAGAUGAUCAGAUACCUGAUGAGUACAUGUGCCCUAUCAGUAGAGAGAUCAUGAAGGAGCCGGUCAUAGCAGCAGAUGGCUACACUUACGAAAGGAAAGCCAUAGAGAACUGGUUCCGGGCGGGGCGUAACACCAGCCCCAUGACCAACGCUCCCCUAUCUUCCAUCAACCUGACCCCCAACCGAAGUCUGAAGAUGAUAAUCGCUCGGAUCUACGAUUUAUGAUGCGGUCGGGGCAAUUUUGUCACGUCUACAUGUAUAUCCACCCUACUACAGUAUGUUGAAAUCUGCUGAGAAUCCAAACCCCCUGGAAAAUGGGAUGAGAGAUUAUAGAAUAAUGGAUGAUUUCGAGUUCAGUGUUGGUGCUGAGACUUUUCAGAUUUCCUUCUGUAGCCCAUCAUCGACAGCUCAACAAGUAUUUGGUGUUGUAUAGGUGUUAAGGCACUAUUCAGAUUGCAUUCUCUAGCUCAAGCACCUCAUGUGAAUUUACAAACUUAAGCCAAAUUAUUGAUAGCUCAAUGCCUGUUUGGUGUUUUGUUGGUGUUAGUGGCAUAUUUCAGUUUGCCUUCUCUCGCUUUCAGCACCUGAUGUGAGUUAACACUAACAAGCCAGGUCACAUUAUUGAUUGCUCAAUGCCUAUUUGGCGUUGUGUUGGUGCUAGUUUUGGUGCGAGUGGUGCUGUUCAUUUUGCCUUUCCUAGCCCCAACUCCUAGUGCAAGUUUGGUGGUGUGCUGUUGUGAAAUUUGGCCCAACACCAACUCAAAAAAGUCAACACCAAGCUUGAACUCAUCCUUCAGUCUACCUAUAGUAUCAUCAUUAUAAUGAUCAUGAAUAUGUUUGAAUCUUCAUGCAAUCUUUUCAUGUGUUCAUUGAAACCAGACAUUCCAAAUCAUCAUUAACUACACUACAAUUAUGUUAAGUGAAUGAAACAUACAUGUAGACUGGAGAGAAUAAGGGGAUGUAUAUGAAUCAGUUACUUGUUUUUAUGUACAUGUAUACAGAUAUUGCCUGCCUAGAGGAUGAAUGUUAUACAAAUAAUGAAUGUGUAUGCGUGCAAUGGGAAGAAUAUUUUCAUGAGAUGAAAGAUGUAAAGUUCCAUUCAACGAGGCGUUAGCCGAGUUGAAUGGAACUUUUAAUCUUUCAUCGAAUGUAAAUAUUCUUUCCAUUGCACAAAUAUUUACAUUCAUUAUUUGUUUUAUAUAACUCAUAUAAGUUACAAAGUUUUUAAAAAUGUAAAAAAAGGAAUAAAAAGAUAAAGAUUAGGUUGGCCUAUUUCCAGCAACUAAUUUUUCUCUGAUAAUUGCUAGUCGGUGGAUAACACCAUGUAUCGACAGCUCAUCAGCCCUUUGCUUUCAUGUUUGUGACGCGCAUUGCUUCAUGGAUCUGAGUCGAGUGCGCACAGUCAGUUUGAUCUGCGCUAACUUCAUGCGCGCGAACACACACACACACACAUACACAAUAAGUAGACAUACACAUGAUUAUACUGAGGGAGCGCUAGCGCGCGUACCGUGCAAUGGGAAAAUAAAAAAUGCACGGUCACCGUGCAAUGGAAAAUUACAAAAUGCACGCAGUAAAAAAUGGACCAAAUAUUGAACACCUUUCAACCAAUCAGAUGGCAAGAAUCUUCGUUUGAGUUAUAUAAAACAUUUCAUUUCCCAGACAGAGUUCCAUUAUUUCCAAGGGAUUAUGUUUUGCCCGAAUAGCACAGCGCUGAGGGAAAAUAUUCUCCUGAGAGAAAAAUAUAGCUUCAGAGGGGAGUUGAAAUGUUAUUUAUUAAACAGAUAGACCAGGCAAUAUCUGUUAUAUGAUAUAGUCUGUGUAGAUUCGCCAUCAGAGUCUGCAUUGGCUUUGUGAUAAACUCGCAAUGCUAACUGCAGCUUUGAUCCACAUAUAUGUCAUUAUAGAAAAAUACAGCUCGUGCAUGCUUCUUUGAUACGCACUAGCGCAUACGUUAUAAAGCGAACCUCCUGAUUACUAAGCUUAUAAACAGUGAUAGACGCCACCUUAGUGACUAUACCACUGCCGUUUACAAAACAACAUAUUCACUGAGGUGAAGUCGAAAUCUAGAAUAUAAUAAAUGCGAUCCUUGCAGCUUUGAUCCUGUGAUGGUACUAGUUUGAAUCUACUUAACCUGUAUAAUAUAUAUUCAUAUUAUCAAGAUUCUACAACAUUACUAUGAAUAUUUGUACAUAAAGUAUUAAGAUAAAUUUGUAGAGCAAAUGUGACUGAGGUAUAACUUUGUCGUUAUGGCAACUACCAUGGUAACAGGGCUCAGCAGCCAAUCACAAUCAAGCGUUCCGAGGAAGUUAUAAUAAUUGCACAGUUACAUACAACACCUACGUUUCUAUCGAAUGGGCAUCAGGAGAUUGAAAAACUUUCAAUUCAGAGAGAGUCAGAGACAACCUUAUUAAGUAUGUAACAGAUAUUGCCAUUGGAUCUUAUUUUAACACUGAAGUUUAUAUUUUGAUAUUUUGUUGGAUUUUGAAUGCUCAAUAGGUUUCCAAUAUUAGAUUCCACCGAUCAAAAUCCUGAACUUUGUGAAUCAUGCAAAUGUGCAGUUGAUUUUGAAUUUGUUCAAAAAAUUACAAUUGAGGUAAUAAUGAGAAACUGGAUUACCGUUUGCAUGAUUUUGCAAUGCGCGUAUGAAUAACAGUAACUUUUUUUUUAUUUAUUUAUUGAAUAUCUACCUGAAUAUGUAAUAAAAUACAUGAAUAUGCAAUGAAUAUUUUUAAUC